GGCUUGUGGCUCAUUGGUAGGGCAUCUGCUUUGCAUGCAGAAGGUUCUGGGUUCAAAUCUCUGGCAUCUCCA